AUGCGACUCUCUUUCUCUCAAGUUUUCCAAUCAACCAUCCCGCCAGACCACUGCCGAUCGCCGACUGACCGAUCGGACCACCGUUUCCCUGUCGCCGGACCCACUGCAAAGACCGCGCGACGCGCCUCCGCCCUCUCGCCGGCGUUUCUCCGCCUCCCUCCUUCUCUGAGCUUUCGAUCACGCCGCCUCCCUCCUCCGAUUGACGUUUCAAUCGCGUUUUCUCUCUCCGUUCAUUGCUCCGAUCAUUGUUUUCGGCAAUGUAGCUGUGAUUGUUAG